rnacentral:tRNA from 1 species
GUGCCUGUAGCUCAGUAUGGAUAGAGUACUGCCCUCCGAAGGCAGGGGUCGUGGGUUCGAAUCCCGCCAGGCGCG